rnacentral:lncRNA from 12 species
CCCUUGAUAGAAGUUCUUACGUCACCGAAGCAGAGCCUGUGUUGGCCGGGGUCCCCUAGGGGGCAGCAGAGUAGCACCUGCCAUCUACUUGGCAGUUACUGAAGGAGUCCUGGGAUUGCUGGGAAGCCCAGCCUGAGAGAAAGACCAGAAGACAGGAGUAGGAAAGUAUCAGGAUGUCAGAAUCCAGGAAACAUAUGCAGCAUCUUUCAGAAGUGCAGGUCAUCAGCAAUUCAUAGAGAAGUUCUAACCACAAUCAAGCUGUAAGGACACUUGUGAGAAGCUUUUCCAUCCGAGAAACACAAACAGUUCCAUCGAUCUUACUAACACCCUAGAGGUAAGUGUGAGAACAAUAAAAAUGGUCUUGG